AACGAACGCUGGCGGCAUGCCUAACACAUGCAAGUCGAACGAGACCUUCGGGUCUAGUGGCGCACGGGUGCGUAACGCGUGGGAACCUGCACUUAGGUUCGGAAUAACUCCCCGAAAGGGGUGCUAAUACCGGAUAAUGUACUCGGACAAAAGAUUUAUCGCCUUUGGGUGGGCCGGCGUUGGAUUAGCUAGUUGGUAGGGUAAAAGCCUACCAAGGCGACGAUCCAUAGCUGGUCUGAGAGGAUGAUCAGCCACACUGGGACUGAGACACGGCCCAGACUCCUACGGGAGGCAGCAGUGGGGAAUAUUGGACAAUGGGCGAAAGCCUGAUCCAGCAAUGCCGCGUGAGUGAUGAAGGCCUUAGGGUUGUAAAGCUCUUUUACCCGGGAUGAUAAUGACAGUACCGGGAGAAUAAGCUCCGGCUAACUCCGUG
rnacentral:rRNA from 1 species